CCCAAGAGCAUCCUCCUGGAGGGCGGAGGACUGAUGAUGGUGAGGCCACCGCUAGUGUUCCCCCACAAUGGUCUACCUCUGACGCGGCCAGCACCUGCUCCUCGGGGGAGACUCAGCCUGUUACCGUGUCUUUCAGCCCCCAAUUCUACCUCGUGCCCCACGGAGGAAAGCUGGUGGUCGGGGCUGGUCAUCGUCAUCGCGGUAUGUUGCGCCUCCCUGGUGUUUCUCACUGUGCUUGUCAUCAUUUGCUACAAAGCCAUCAAAAGGAACCAUGCCUUGUAGGCCGUCGUCUGUGGCCAUCCCUUCCUGCACCAGGGUGCAAAUGCCUUUCUUUGGUUUAGUGGGACCAGCCCUGGCCGGCUUAUGGCACUGCGGAGCCAGGCUGGGUCCCAGCAAGCCUCUCCGGCAUUUCCAGAGCCCCACGGGGCACGCAUUAGGAAACCCCUGAGGAAGGAGGAGAACGGCACCAGUGUCGCUGAGUACCCCAUGACCUCCUCGCAGAGCAACAAAGGGGUGGACGUGAACAGCGCCGUGGUGUGAGUCUGCGGACCCGGACCCGCUGGCCAGAGGGGCACAUUGGUGGCGUUAGUGGACCCGGGAAAGCAGGUGGACCCGAGCUGACACUGGGCUUGUCCCAGACUUCCAAAGGCGGAACCAUCCUCUUCCCAGCCUUGCCCCUGGUCGGCUCGCGGGCAGGGCAGCACAGACCGCGGGCCGAGCUGGGCGCCCCUGCACGCAGCUCCCAGGGGCAGCGCCACCCCCCCAGGCUCUGCACGUCUCCUCCCUGUCUUGUCUUCAUUUUCCCGUCUCCCAGCCGCGCUCUGACAAAGGCGGGGAGUCUGUCUGGCUGUCUGCUGGGCCAGGGAGGCAUCCCGCUUUAGCCAAGAGAAGGGUGAUCCAGGGGCCACUCCCCUGCUCGAAAACCUCUCCUCUGCAGCAAGACUGUCUGCUUCGCAUUCACCAUGUGUCCCCACAGAAGCCAUCGGCACAGCCAUGAGACGUCCCCUUCCAGAGGUGCUUCCCACACACCCGUCUGUCACCGCAUCUGUGACUGUCUUCAGUCUUCAGGGCCUGCCUCCUCCCUCCCGUUCCCACCCACAUCCGGGGCCCCUGGCUCUUGGCCUCUGACCCCCUGCCACGGAGGGCUGUAAGCCCAGCCCGUAAAGCCCCCUCCUGACAGCAGACAGAGGGGCUCUUUGAGCAUCUGACCUUCCAGGGGCAAACAACUCUCUGAACACCAGGCCAAGGAGCCAGGAAGGACCGAGCCCUCUGUCUGUCCUCAGACUCAUCCCCCAGCCAUCCUCCUAGGAACGGACAGCUCCGUGUGAGCCAGGCCCUGCCUACAUCCCGCGGAGGCCGCCACUUAUGCCAAGCCCUCUGCGGGCGCCCCGGGCUAGGCCAACCCGGCCUGGCGCUGGGUCUUCCCUGAUGACACCCCUCCCCCGCCGAGACCCUGACCAGGUUUUCAGACCCUCUCCUGAGAGCCCCUGGCCUCCCCUCACCCACGAGGAGGUGGUGUUCCCCAGUGCUCCCCUUUGAAUGUCUCUUCCCAAGGUCUUGUGUUCCAAACGUGCUAAAACCUCCAGAGGGGGUUGGUGGACGAAGGGAAGGAAGGGGAUGGAAGGAGAAGACGCUCCAUGCCUGGUAAUCCCGAUCCACCGGCCCGGUGGGCACACGACUAGCCCCGUGGAGACAGUGGCCUGUGGUCUGGCCUCCCCUGGUGGAUUGGGAGAACACUUCCCACCCCGUGGUUCCCUCACCUCCCAUACCGUUGCUCAGAAGGAACUGGACACAUGUCAUGAUUCGACUCUCUCCGUGUAGGAUCUUAGCUAGGUGGGCCCUGCUUGCCUUCCAGACCACCAAGCAUAGUUCUCUGGAGGGUAUUGGCCACAGUGAGACUUGCCCAUCCAAGUAAGCCUGACAGAAAAGUCCCCAUUCGGGCUGAACCUUGGAAAUCCAUUGUCCCGGAGCCCUUGUGUCCAUGCAGUGGUCUGUGGUCCAUUGUGUUUCGGAGGGCAGAGGGGAGAAGGUGAGUGUGCUGGGACCCUAACCCGGGUCCUCCCCAAGGUCAGCAGGAGCAGGCUGAGGACAGGCCCAGACCCUCCCAGAAAUCGUUUUUUCUUCUUUCUUCUGAGGACCUGUUUUGGGUUUGGAUUUGGAUUUUUGCUUCCCUUCCGUGUUAGCACGGCACAGCACCACGGGUGGCCAGGUUCAGUGCCCCCAGCGGGGGGGGGGGGCACUCGGCAGUCCCCUCCGCCCACGCCUUCCACUCCCCCAAGGGAUGCACAGCGGGUGACAGGAGGCCAGAGGGUGUGGGUGUGCAGUGGGUGCUUUCCCUCCCGGCCUGCAGGCUCCCACCGAGCCCCUGCCUGUUCCCUGAGUAGACACCCCGGCGGGACCUCUGCCCUCAGCACGUGACCCCCUGGGCUCAGAGGGAUGGGCAGGCCCCUUCAAUCAGAGGGGAGAAUCCUGGCCAAGGGGUUGUGGAGGGGGUGGGCAGCCAGCCUGAAGAGACAUCAGGGUGCCAGGGCACAGGCCCACUUUGCACAACCCCACUGGUCCCGCCUUCCCUGACCCUGGCUUCCGCCUGGGAGGGUUUACAACUAGCCGGAUCCUUCAGCCCCUGGCAAGGCUCACCGUGAGGAGCCUUGACAACCACCACCACACUCUGGGACCAGUGUCCCCUUCCCUGGGGACACAGGAAAAGCUAACAUUUAUGUGUAAAUUGCCCCAAAUCACAUUUGUAGUCUCUUCUCACUCAGUGAAAACCAAGAGAAGAACCAACCCAGUUCUUAAGAAAGAAUCUACGUGAGAAGUCAACCCACCAAACCUACAAUGGCCAUUAGGAAACUCUCACACACGGCAGCGAGGGAACCUCACGGGAGUUUUGGCUUAAGUGACAAGAAGCGUCCAUAAAACCACACGGCCUCGUAUUUGAGCUCAGAACUUUUAUUUAAGGAAUGUAUCUGCAGACCAAUCCUCAGACUCGCCCAAACUUCGAGGUUGAGAACGAAAUGCACAUUUCUUCUCCGCCUUUUCUCAAAUAGAUAUUUUUUAACCAUCUCCUAGUUGAGCCCAACUUAGAAUGGCCUAUAGGAUCUCCCAGAGUUUUUAGGUGUUUCUUAGAAGCUUCUAAAGCAAGUUUUGGAAGAAAGACUAAUAGCUGUAAAAAUAUAGACAUAUAUAUUAUAUAUAGUUAUAUAUAUAUAUUUAAAGAGAUAUCUAUAUCUAUAUAAAAUCACUGUACUCUCCAGAUCUGUACAAAGUCCGAAUUCAACAGCCCAGGUAGCGCGCCAUCUAAUGCAUGAAGGUAAAUAUCCUGAGGUCUGCCUCCCGGACGGUGUGCCGAGCACCCACAGGAAGAGGGCUUUUGUCUCUAGGAGCUCCGUCUCCGUGGACAAAUGUGAGGUCCUGCCGUCGGGUCCACCAGCGAGCCACGACUGUGGAUUUUGUGCAGAGACCACCCAGGGAGCAGGACCUGCAGUGCUGGGGUGGGGAGGCAGGCCGGAUGCUACUUACAAGGAAGAAAGUACCAUGCCUUUUUUAUUUUCAAUAAAAAUAUACUUAUA